AAUCGGGGCAGGGUGAGUCGACCCCUAAGGCGAGGCCGAAAGGCGUAGUCGAUGGGAAACAGGUUAAUAUUCCUGUACUUGGUGUUACUGCGAAGGGGGGACGGAGAAGGCUAUGUUGGCCGGGCGACGGUUGUCCCGGUUUAAGCGUGUAGGCUGGUUUUCCAGGCAAAUCCGGAAAAUCAAGGCUGAGGCGUGAUGACGAGGCACUACGGUGCUGAAGCAACAAAUGCCCUGCUUCCAGGAAAAGCCUCUAAGCAUCAGGUAACAUCAAAUCGUACCCCAAACCGACACAGGUGGUCAGGUAGAGAAUACCAAGGCGCUUGAGAGAACUCGGGUGAAGGAACUAGGCAAAAUGGUGCCGUAACUUCGGGAGAA
rnacentral:rRNA from 1 species